GGACCAGACUCCUACGGGAGGCAGCAGUGGGGGAUAUUGCACAAUGGGGGAAACCCUGAUGCAGCGAUGCCGCGUGAGUGAAGACGGCCUUCGGGUUGUAAAGCUCUGUCGCAGAGGACGAAAAUGACGGUACUCUGCAAGAAAGCUCCGGCUAACUCCGUGCCAGCAGCCGCGGUAAUACGGAGGAUGCGAGCGUUAUCCGGAUUUAUUGGGUUUAAAGGGUGCGCAGGCGGAUUUUUAAGUCAGCGGUGAAAUCGUGGGGCUCAACCCCAGCCAGCCGUUGAAACUGGGGAUCUAGAGUGUGCGAGAGGUAUGCGGAAUGCGUGGUGUAGCGGUGAAAUGCAUAGAUAUCACGCAGAACCCCGAUUGCGAAGGCAGCAUACCGGUGCACAACUGACGCUCAGGCACGAAAGCGUGGGUAUCGAACAGGAUUAGAUACCCCAGUAC
rnacentral:rRNA from 1 species